CCAAAGGCUCUUUUCAGAGCCCCCCCCCCCCCCAAAAAAAAAAAA
rfam:TPA: Bos taurus chromosome 17, whole genome shotgun sequence.